rnacentral:miRNA from 1 species
CUACUGAGCCAUCUCCCAGCCCCCAAGACCGUUUCAAAAAGACAAAAAAUUGGGCUGGAGAGAUGGCUCAGUAG